UCUGCAAACAGAAAAGGAGAACGCCACUAGACAUCACCUUCAGCUCCCACCUAAAACCUCUCCAGCACAUCAUCAAGGAUUUGCAACCUAUCCUUAAGGACUAACCCGUUACUCUCACAGAUCUUGGGAGACAGACCAGUCCUUGCUUACAGACAGCCCCCCAACCUGAAGCAAAUACUCACCAGCAACCACACA